rnacentral:rRNA from 1 species
UACAGAGGAUGCAAGCGUUAUCCGGAAUGAUUGGGCGUAAAGCGUCUGUAGGUGGCUUUUUAAGUCCGCCGUCAAAUCCCAGGGCUCAACUCUGGACAGGCGGUGGAAACUACCAAGCUGGAGUACGGUAGGGGCAGAGGGAAUUUCCGGUGGAGCGGUGAAAUGCGUAGAGAUCGGGAAGAACACCCGUGGCGAAGGCGGCACUCUGGGCCGGUACUGACGCUGAGGAGCGAAAGCGUGGGGAGCGAACAGG